rnacentral:misc_RNA from 1 species
AAGUCGUAACAAGGUUUCCGUAGGUGAACCUGCGGAAGGAUCAUUAACACUUUUCUCCAAAAACCUUAUCCAAUUUCCUUUGGAUAUGGCACCCCCUUUUACAAGUGAACCAUUGUUAGGAAGUGCUUCAUAGCGGCAGGCGCUACACGCCCCUCCGUUCCCUGACCGCUUCCGCUUUUUUUCUCCUUUUUCCUAACACAAACCCCAUUGAAUUUCUAAAACUGAACCUUUUGGGGAGUUUUCUCGAAAGAGAAAAGCACCCCUUUCCUAAGAAAAUGUUGAAACAACUCUUAGCAACGGAUAUCUUGGCUCUC